GAACUGCGAUAAGUAAUGUGAAUUGCAGAAUUCAGUGAAUCAUCGAGUCUUUGAACGCACAUUGCGCCCCCUGGCAUUCCGGGGGGCAUGCCUGUCCGAGCGUCAUUGCUGCCCUUCAAGCCCGGCUUGUGUGUUGGGUCGUCGUCCCCUCCGGGGGACGGGCCCGAAAGGCAGCGGCGGCACCGCGUCCGGUCCUCGAGCGUAUGGGGCUUUGUCACCCGCUCGAUAAGGACCGGCCGGGCGCCAGCCGGCGUCUCCAACCUUUUUUUCUCAGGUUGACCUCGGAUCAGGUAGGGAUACCCGCUGAAGUUAAGC
rnacentral:misc_RNA from 1 species